rnacentral:lncRNA from 1 species
AUGAAUCAAUAUACAAUUAUGGCCCGUUGAAAAGGUGAAUAUCCAAAAUUGUCAACACGAGAAGGUUAUUUCAAUGAGGGCGCAGCCCGAAGUGAAAUAACUUUUAAGGGUUGACAAUUUUGGAUAUUCAUCGAUUCUAAGGGGCCACAAUUGUUUUAUUAUACCGAACUAACAGUGGAAAGGCCUUUCGAACACUUUCUAUAUUUUUUUAACUUUACAUAACAAAGUCAAAG